rnacentral:rRNA from 1 species
UGAAUUGCAGAAUCCCGUGAACCAUCGAGUCUUUGAACGCAAGUUGCGCCUGAAGCCAUUAGGCCAAGGGCACGUCUGCCUGGGCGUCACGCAUCGCGUCACCCCCCCCCCCUCCAUUUGUGUGGGAUGGGGUG